rnacentral:rRNA from 1 species
UACGUAGGGUGCAAGCGUUGUCCGGAAUUAUUGGGCGUAAAGAGCUCGUAGGCGGUCUGUCGCGUCGGCUGUGAAAACUCAGGGCUUAACCCUGAGCUUGCAGUGGGUACGGGCAGACUAGAGUGCGGUAGGGGAGACUGGAAUUCCUGGUGUAGCGGUGAAAUGCGCAGAUAUCAGGAGGAACACCGAUGGCGAAGGCAGGUCUCUGGGCAUUAACUGACGCUGAGGAGCGAAAGCAUGGGGAGCGAACAGG